rnacentral:rRNA from 1 species
CUACGGGUUGCUGCAGUGAGGAAUAUUGCACAAUGGGGGAAACCCUGAUGCAGCAACGCCGCGUGGAGGAUGACGCAUUUCGGUGUGUAAACUCCUUUUAUAUGUCAAGAAAAUGACGGUAGCAUAUGAAUAAGCACCGGCUAACUCCGUGCCAGCAGCCGCGGUAAUACGGAGGGUGCAAGCGUUAUUCGGAAUCACUGGGCGUAAAGGACGCGUAGGCGGGUUAUCAAGUCAGGUGUGAAAUCCUACAGCUUAACUGUAGAACUGCACUUGAAACUGGUAGCCUAGAGUAUGGGAGGGGCAGAUGGAAUUAGUGGUGUAGGGGUAAAAUCCGUAGAUAUCACUAGGAAUACCGAAAGCGAAGGCGAUCUGCUGGAACAUUACUGACGCUAAGGCGUGAAAGCGUGGGGAGCAAACAGGAUUAGAUACCCGCGUAGUC